rnacentral:rRNA from 1 species
AGGUGGGGAUCUUCGGACCUACCGCGAUUGGAUGCACCCAGGUGGGAUUAGCUAGUUGGUGGGGUAAAGGCCUACCAAGGCGACGAUCAGUAGCGGGUCUGAGAGGAUGAUCCGCCACACUGGAACUGAGACACGGUCCAGACUCCUACGGGAGGCAGCAGUGGGGAAUUUUGGACAAUGGGGGCAACCCUGAUCCAGCCAUUCCGCGUGAGUGAAGAAGGCCUUCGGGUUGUAAAGCUCUUUCAGCUGGAACGAAACGGUACAUCCUAAUACGGUGUGCUAAUGACGGUACCAGCAGAAGAAGCACCGGCUAACUACGUG